rnacentral:rRNA from 1 species
GAUGAACGCUGGCGGCGUGCCUAAUACAUGCAAGUCGAGCGAACAGACGAGGAGCUUGCUCCUCUGACGUUAGCGGUGGACGGGUGAGUAACACGUGGAUAACCUACCUAUAAGACUGGGAUAACUUCGGGAAACCGGAGCUAAUACCGGAUAAUAUAUUGAACCGCAUGGUUCAAUAGUGAAAGACGGUUUUGCUGUCACUUAUAGAUGGAUCCGCGCCGCAUUAGCUAGUUGGUAAGGUAACGGCUUACCAAGGCGACGAUGCGUAGCCGACCUGAGAGGGUGAUCGGCCACACUGGAACUGAGACACGGUCCAGACUCCUACGGGAGGCAGCUGUAGGGAAUCUUCCGCAAUGGGCGAAAGCCUGACGGAGCAACGCCGCGUGAGUGAUGAAGGUCUUCGGAUCGUAAAACUCUGUUAUUAGGGAAGAACAAAUGUGUAAGUAACUAUGCACGUCUUGACGGUACCUAAUCAGAAAGCCACGGCUAACUACGUG